rnacentral:rRNA from 1 species
GCGACAGACGAGGAGCUUGCUCCUCUGACGUUAGCGGCGGACGGGUGAGUAACACGUGGAUAACCUACCUAUAAGACUGGGAUGACUUCGGGAAACCGGAGCUAAUACCGGAUAAUAUAUUGAACCGCAUGGUUCAAUAGUGAAAGACGGUUUUGCUGUCACUUAUAGAUGGAUCCGCGCCGCAUUAGCUAGUUGGUAAGGUAACGGCUUACCAAGGCAACGAUGCGUAGCCGACCUGAGAGGGUGAUCGGCCACACUGGAACUGAGACACGGUCCAGACUCCUACGGGAGGCAGCAGUAGGGAAUCUUCCGCAAUGGGCGAAAGCCUGACGGAGCAACGCCGCGUGAGUGAUGAAGGUCUUCGGAUCGUAAAACUCUGUUAUUAGGGAAGAACAAAUGUGUAAGUAACUAUGCACGUCUUGACGGUACCUAAUCAGAAAGCCACGGCUAACUACGUGCCAGCAGCCGCGGUAAUACGUAAGUGGCAAGCGUUAUCCGGGAAUUAUUGGGCGUAAAGCGCGCGUAGGCGGUUUUUUAAAGUCUGAUGUGAAAAGCCCACGGGCUCAACCGUGGAGGGUCAUUGGAAACUGGAAAACUUGAGUGCAGAAGAGGAAAGUGGAAUUCCAUGUGUAGCGGUGAAAUGCGCAGAGAUAUGGAGGAACACCAGUGGCGAAGGCGACUUUCUGGUCUGUAACUGACGCUGAUGUGCGAAAGCGUGGGGAUCAAACAGGAUUAGAUACCCUGGUAGUCCACGCCGUAAACGAUGAGUGCUAAGUGUUAGGGGGUUUCCGCCCCUUAGUGCUGCAGCUAACGCAUUAAGCACUCCGCCUGGGGAGUACGACCGCAAGGUUGAAACUCAAAGGAAUUGACGGGGACCCGCACAAGCGGUGGAGCAUGUGGUUUAAUUCGAAGCAACGCGAAGAACCUUACCAAAUCUUGACAUCCUCUGACCCCUCUAGAGAUAGAGUUUUCCCCUUCGGGGGACAGAGUGACAGGUGGUGCAUGGUUGUCGUCAGCUCGUGUCGUGAGAUGUUGGGUUAAGUCCCGCAACGAGCGCAACCCUUAAGCUUAGUUGCCAUCAUUAAGUUGGGCACUCUAAGUUGACUGCCGGUGACAAACCGGAGGAAGGUGGGGAUGACGUCAAAUCAUCAUGCCCCUUAUGAUUUGGGCUACACACGUGCUACAAUGGACAAUACAAAGGGCAGCGAAACCGCGAGGUCAAGCAAAUCCCAUAAAGUUGUUCUCAGUUCGGAUUGUAGUCUGCAACUCGACUAUAUGAAGCUGGAAUCGCUAGUAAUCGUAGAUCU